rnacentral:rRNA from 1 species
UACGGAGGGGGCUAGCGUUGUUCGGAAUUACUGGGCGUAAAGCGUACGUAGGCGGCUUUGUAAGUUAGAGGUGAAAGCCUGGAGCUCAACUCCAGAACUGCCUUUAAGACUGCAUCGCUUGAAUCCAGGAGAGGUGAGUGGAAUUCCGAGUGUAGAGGUGAAAUUCGUAGAUAUUCGGAAGAACACCAGUGGCGAAGGCGGCUCACUGGACCGGCAUUGACGCUGAGGUGCGAAAGCGUGGGGAGCAAACAGG